rnacentral:misc_RNA from 1 species
CAAUGAUAUCCCUAUAUAUUUCCAGAGCAGUAUCUACUCUCCCCUCGUCACAAUGUGCAUUAAUCAAAUUAUUAUACGAGACAACAUUAGGAACUAUAUCAUGCUGUUCAAAAAAGUACUUAAAUAGCGCAAUAGCCUCAUUGUAACGUUUGGCUCGAUACAUUGCAGCGAUGAUCGCGUUGCAGGUGAACACAGUGGGACGAGUUCUGGUGUAGACGGCGUUGCGAGCGAGAAGGGAGGCGUUGUCGAGAUCGAAGGCGCGAAUGAGAGAUUGCACUCGGUUAUGGAGGUUGAGACGCGGGCCGACUAGUGCACUGGUGGAGUCCGGAAGACGAGGCGCGUUGGGAUCGCGAGGCGGAGGGUUAGAAUUUCGUUGAAGGGCAUGGAGGGGGGGUUCGAUGCGAAGGCGUCGCUUGCGUCUACGGCGUUCCGCGGCAGCUUCCUCAGCAGAGGAGAAGGCGUAGCUGUGGGAUUUAGGGAGGAGGGGAGAAGAAGAAAUGGGGUUGGAUAAGGAUGAAAUUGGGCCAUUAGAGUCGGAAGUUUGGGAAGUGGUCGUCGGAGAGUGGGUGAGGUGGUGGAGGGCGCGAAUUAGAGGUUGAAAGGACUUGGUGGUGGUAGCCGCGGUGGCAGCGGAGCAACGGAGGACGCGGUAGAAGGACAUUGGGCCUCUAAGGAGAGAGAUGAUAAGCAGAGCAGGAGAGAGUUUAGAACCUUAA